UACGGGGGGAGCAAGCGUUGUUCGGAUUUACUGGGCGUAAAGGGCGCGUAGGCGGUCAGCACAAGUCAGUUGUGAAAUCUCCGGGCUUAACUCGGAAAGGUCAACUGAUACUGUGCGACUAGAGUGCGGAAGGGGCAACUGGAAUUCUCGGUGUAGCGGUGAAAUGCGUAGAUAUCAAGAGGAACACCUGAGGCGAAGGCGGGUUGCUAGGCUGACACUGACGCUGAAGCGCGAAAGCUAGGGUAGCAAACGGG
rnacentral:rRNA from 1 species